UGGGGAAUUUUGGACAAUGGGGGAAACCCUGAUCCAGCCAUCCCGCGUGUGCGAUGAAGGCCUUCGGGUUGUAAAGCACUUUUGGCAGGAAAGAAACGUCAUGGGUUAAUACCCCGUGAAACUGACGGUACCUGCAGAAUAAGCACCGGCUAACUACGUGCCAGCAGCCGCGGUAAUACGUAGGGUGCAAGCGUUAAUCGGAAUUACUGGGCGUAAAGCGUGCGCAGGCGGUUCGGAAAGAAAGAUGUGAAAUCCCAGAGCUCAACUUUGGAACUGCAUUAUUAACUACCGGGCUAGAGUGUGUCAGAGGGAGGUGGAAUUCCGCGUGUAGCAGUGAAAUGCGAAGAUAUGCGGAGGAACACCGGUGGCGAAGGCAGCCUCCUAGGAUAACACUGACGCUCAUGCACGAAAGCGUGGGGAGCAAACAGG
rnacentral:rRNA from 1 species